rnacentral:lncRNA from 1 species
CCUCAGGUUGCUUAGGUAACGGGAAGGAAAAGAACUUCCCUCUGUUCUUGGGCGGAUCUUACAUUGCUUUUGGAAGAGGUAAUGGACUUGGGAAAGAAAGGAGUAUGUGUAUUGAAGGAAUGAUUAGGUGGGAGGAGUCAGACAGGAAGGCUGCAAUAGCCCGUCACUCAACCCUGGCUGCUUUAUCGUUGGGGCUCAGUGAACAGAUUAUCUGUUUUCAUGGUAAGAGGUUGGGGUUCUCUACUUCAGGUGGGCACUGAGAAAGUGAAUUGCUCGCCUUUGUUUAAAAAUAAUGAAAAUGGGCCGGGCGCAUUGCUCAUGCCUGUAAUCCCAGCACUUUGGGAGGCUGAGGCAGGUGGAUCACUUGAGGUCAGGAGUUUGUGACCAGCCUGGCCAACGUGGUGAGAUCCUGUCUAUACUAAAAAUACAAAAAUUAGCCAGGCAUGGUGAUGGUCACCUGUAAUCCUAGCUACUUGGGAGGCUGACACAGGAGAAUCGCUUGAACCCAGGAGGCGCAGGUUGCAGUGAGCCGAGAUCUCGCCACUGCAGUCCAGCCUGGGUGACAGAGCAAGACUCUGUCUCAAAAACAAACAAACAAAAAACCCAAAAAUAAUGAAAAUGUCUGCCCACCCUUCACUAAGUAGACAUAAUGAAAAUGCAUAUCUUGUGCCCUCUUUUGCUUUUAUUCCGUAAUACCCAAGCCCACGUUUUGGAAUUAAGCCCCACACCCUUUGUGUGAAAGCCACGCGGCUCUUCAAAGGACCCCUUUAGGGGGAGCAUUAAGUUUGCCCAAGGAGGCACCCUUCUGGGUCUUCAAGGCCACCUGGCUGCAAUGCAGUCCAAUUCCAGCCUGUGUCUCCCAGAGCACCCCCUGUGCCAGGGUGGCAGGGUCCGAGGGGUGUGUCCACCAUGGCACCAGACACACACCUGUAAUGUGUGUCCAUGUGAAGAGACCAACAAACAGCCUUUGUGUGGGCAACAAGGCUAUUUGUUUUACCUAGGUGCAGGUGAGCUGAGUCCGAAAAGAGAGUCAGCAAAGGGUGGUGGGAUUAUCAUUAGUUCUUACAGGUUUGGGACAGGCGACGGAGUUAGGAGCAAUGUUUUGCAGGCAAGGGGUGGAUCUCACAAAGUACAUUCUCAAAGAGGAAAAAGAACUGGAAUUGGAAGGACAGGGAGACUGAAGGAUAGCGAGAGAGAGGCUGGAGAAGAGAGUGAAAAGACCGCUUACCCGAUUUGAAAUUGGUGAGAUAUGCCUUAGGCUGGUUGGUCUGAGGACCCGAGGUCGUAGGUGGAUCUCUUCACGGAGUGAGGGUGAGGACAGGGGACUGGUCUCCAGAAGGAGUCCCUCUGACCCCGGUCUUCGGCACCAAAUGUCACACGCGUCCGUGUGAAGAGACCACCAAACAGCCUUUGUGUGAGCAGCAAGGCUGUUGAUUUCACCUGGCUGCAGGCGGGCUGAAUCCGAAAAGAGAGUCAGCAAAGGGUGGUGGGACUAUCAUUAGUUCUUACAGGUUUUGGGAUAGGCGGUGGAGUUAGGAGCAAUGUUUUGGGGGCAGGGGGCGGAUCUCACAAAGUACGUUCUCAAGGGUAGGGAGAAUUACAAAGAACCUUGUUAAGGGUGGGGGAGAUUACAAAGUACAUUGAUCAGUCAGGGUGGGGCAGAAACAAAUCACAAUGGUGGAAUGUCAUCAGUUAAGGCUAUUUUCACUUCUUUUGUGGAUCUUCGGUUACUUCUGGACAUCUGGAUGUGUACGUGCAGGUCACAGGGGAUAUGAUGGCUUAGCUUGGGCUCAGAGGCCUGAUAACACCAGCUGAAUGUAGCCUCGUAAUUGCUGAGCCCUGUUCGCAAUAUUUUUGUUUCCAUGUUUACUUUUUCAGUUUUAGGAGCUUUGUUGUCACAGGAGCUUUGUAUCCCUGGUCAAAACUACUCUGGUGAAGCUCUCUAGGUGUCUCUAAGUUGGCACAGGAAGAGCAGUUUUCCUGAGUUCCUCAUGCAACUUGACCCCACUCCCUUCAGCAAAGUCCUGGGAGCUCAAGGGAGGCUGCCCAGUCAGCUGUGGCCCAUCCAACGCAUUGGGGACCUGCCCACUUGGCUCUUAAUUUGCAUUUUGAAAUGUCACCUAAGUGAUUUCAGACCAGAUAAGAAGAUGAGCUUCUCUUGUUAUGGAAAAAGGAAGAGAGACAGAGAGAGAAACCUCGAUUUUGUUAUUUAGCUAUUCCUCAAAUUCUUAUGACCAGUGAUGUUAAAAAAAAUCUCUAGAACAACACAAUUAUUUACAUUUAACUCAUAUUUUAUUUUUAUUUAUUUAUUUAUUCUUGAGAUGGAGUCUCGCUGUGACACCCAGGCUGGAGUGCAGUGGUACAAUCUCGGCUCACUGCAAGCUCAGCUUCCCAGGUUAAAGCGAUUCUCCUGCCUCAGCCUUCCAAGUAGCUGGGAUUACAGGUGCCCACCACGUCUGGCUAAUCAAUUAAUUAUUAUCAUUUUUUGAGACGGAGUCUCACUCUGUCACCCAGGCUGGAGUGCAGUGGUGUGAUCUUGGCUCACUGCAACCUCCACCUCCCAGGUUAAAACAAUUCUCCUGCCUCAGUCUCCUGAGUAGCUGGGAUUACAGGCACACACCACCAUGCCUGGCUAAUUUUUUUAUUUUAUUUUUAGUGGAGAUGGGGUUUCAUCAUAUCGGCCAGGCUGGUCUCAAACUCCUGACCACAAGUGAUCCACCCGCCUCAGCCUCCAAAAAUGCUGGGAUUACAGGCAUGAGCCACCGCACCUGGCCUUAACUCAGAUUUUAAAUAUGAGAGUAUCAAUUUGUAGGGGUGGAAGAGGUGUGAUACCUCUCCUCACACACUGUGUGGGUCACAGCCAAGGCUCCUAUCUCAAAAGAUACAGUCCCACCUCCAACUCCAGUUCGCCUUCUCAUUCAUCCCAAAUAAGUCUCUUGAAAGAGAAUUCUAAGAUGACUCUCUCCAUGUGUCUUCAGGCCUGGAUCGGACUCAGUUUUUGCUCAUCCCAUCUACCGUCCCUUGGUAACUAAAGACUUGGGAAUGAGAAAUACCCUUUUCAAUUCUGACUCUCCUCUUCCUCUCAGCACCAGCAGCAGAUGCUGACCUGGUUCUCUGUUUCUUCUGUCUUCUCCUUCUCUGUCCUCUUCACUAUGUGCUCUUUUCAAAGUUGUCUUUUAAAAUCUUUGUUGCUGGACCAAGGAGUUUCUCCCCCAGCUUCAUUUAGCAUCAAUAACUCUUACCUUUGUCAUAAUUUCUCCCUGACCUCUGGACAUCUUCGCCUACAUGUUCACCAGCACUCUAAGCCCCUUUGGACUCAAACUGAUUAUUUGACCCCUAGGUCCGAUCCUCCUCCCUCUAUAUACUCUCUUUCAUGUAUCCAGUUCUCUGAGUUAGAAUAAAUACAAACCAUCUGGAACUCUGCCCUUCUCUCUCAAAAUCCACUUGGUCAGUAUAGCCUGUGAUUUCUGCUCCCUAACUAGCUCUCUGUCUCACAGGCAUCACCAUUGCCAGUGCCUGGCUGAGGCCCAAAUUACCUGUGCUCUGGGCUCCUGAGGCCAAUUUCUAACCAGCCCCCUGCUGUCACUGUCUUCUGCACCCUGCCCAGCCUAAGACCUGAUGCUGGAGUUGGGAAGGAAGAAAAGAAGGAAAGUAGUGGGUGUAGUGGCACAUGACAGUAGUCCCUACUCUGGAGGCUGAGGCAGGAGGAUUGCUUGAACCCAGGAGGUAGAGGCUGCCACAAGUUAUAAUCACAUCACUGCACUCUAGCCUGGACUAUGGAGUGAGACGUGGAGGUCGGAGGGGAGGGGGGAGGAGGAAAAGAAGAAAGGAUGGAAAAAAGAGGGUAAGGAAGGGAAAAAAGAGAAAGCAAUCCUCUCCUCUUAUUAAAAUCCUGUGCUGGUUCCCCAAUGUCUGAGGGAUAAAACCCAAAUUUCCUAGAAUGGCACAAGGACUCUUUCCCAGUCCAUCCCUGACACCCCAUCCAGCUCUACCCAACCUCCCUGGGGGCCCCUCCCCAGCCCAUACCCUUCUCUCCUCUCUUAAAGCACGCUCACCCUUUGCCCCUGUGAGCUGUCACACUGCACCUUUCUGUUGCCUGUGGUAAAAAAUAAAUGAAUAAAUAAAUAAUCUGAUGAUCCAUGAUACUUAUUAAAGCACAGUAAAGAAGUCUUUAUUCAGGACCAAAUCGAUAGGGUUAGAAACUGUUGUAGUGCAGGAGAGAGAUUGGACUUAACCAGAAACGCAGCCUGAGGAAGUGGGGAUUUACAGCCAAGGAAAGGGUGGGGUCAGUGGAUGGAAAAUGGCUGAGGAGACACAUCAGGAGUCAGGGGGAUUCUGGCUAAACCGGCCUCACCGGAUUCUUGCGGAAGGCAGGUCAGGGGGAUCAGACAGCCCCUGGGAGGUGGGGGAGGAUGAGGAGCCUGAUCAGAUACCAAGGGUGAUUGUGAAAGAAAUCAGGCACAUUCCUCCAUAUAUCUCCCAACUCCCUGAGCCCAGCACAAACACAAUCCACCAUAUAUCUCACAACUUUAGAAAAACACCACCUGGGAAAUCUCCGAUAAGGACACAGCGGGAACCAAUAAAAAAUGCUAAAUGUAUAACGUUAACCAAUUGUAAUGCUGUAACCAAGAGAAUUACCUUGUUCCCCUGUAACUUUACAUAUCCUGUUUACAUCGGGCUAUAAAAAGCAAGCACUCGCAUUGUUCGGGGCCCUCUUGUAUGCUGUGGAAUGGAGGGACCAAGUUCGAACUUGCAGUAAAAGAUCCUUGCCGCUUGGCUUUGACUCUGGACUCUGGUGGUCUUCUUUGGGGAACAAAAGGUCUGGGCAUUACAAUUGCACACUGAAACUGGGGAGUUCUUUGCUAAAACUAGAUUUUACAUGGAAGUGCACAGGUAGACCUAAUAGAAGUUUCAGAAACCUGGCUAAUGGGCCAGGCGCAGUGGCUCACGCCACCAGCACUUUGGGAGGCCAAGGUGAGCGGAUCGCCUGAAGUCAGGAGUUCGAGACCAGUCUGGCCAACAUGGUGAAACUCCAUUUCUAGCAAAAAUACAAAAAUUAGCCGGACAUGGUGGUGCAUGCCUGUAAUCCCAGCUACUCUGGAGGUUGAGGCAGGAGAAUCGCUUGAACCUGGGAGGCAGAAGUUGCAGUGAACCAAGAUUGCACGAUUGUACUCCAGCCUGAGUGACAGAGCAAGAUUCCAUCUCAAAAAAGAAACCUGACUAAUGUUUGACCAAGCUAGGAAUCUUUGUCACUUGCUUGUUCUUUCUCAACUCUGGAAAAUUACUCUUCCUAUGAGUCUGAGCUCAGCUGAUGCCCCAGGGAACACAUCCUGAGGCCAGCAGAGCCGUUCUUCCAGGCUUCCGUUCUCACAGGUGCUUGCGUGCCCGGUUAGAGCAGCCACAUGCCCUUCUGUGGGCACAGUGCCUUUCCCA